AGUCCUCUGCAGACAACCUCUUGCCUAAGGAGCCUGAUGCAGAUAAAACUGAUACAACUGGCAAGUUAAGAUUACACAUUGUUGAGGUGAGUCAAGAGCAAGAGCCUUCUCUGCUGCAAGAAGAAGAGGAGAAACCUCUGGAGACCGAAGGGAAUAAGGGAGACGAAAGUGUGUCUCAUUCAUCUCUCAGAGAAUCUGUGAUGGAAACAGAUGAUAUUGAAAUUGAUAAGUCAGAGAAAGAAGCUCCAAAAGAGA
rnacentral:misc_RNA from 1 species